GACGAACGCUGGCGGCGUGCUUAACACAUGCAAGUCGAGCGGUAAGGCCCUUUCGGGGGUACACGAGCGGCGAACGGGUGAGUAACACGUGGGUGACCUGCCUUUAGCUCUGGGAUAAGCCUGGGAAACUGGGUCUAAUACCGGAUACGACUCCGCGGUGCAUGCUGUGGGGUGAAAGCCUUGUGCGGCUGGAGAUGGGCCCGCGGCCUAUCAGCUUGUUGGUGGGGUGAUGGCCUACCAAGGCGACGACGGGUAGCCGGCCUGAGAGGGCGACCGGCCACACUGGGACUGAGACACGGCCCAGACUCCUACGGGAGGCAGCAGUGGGGAAUCUUGCGCAAUGGCGAAAGCCUGACGCAGCGACGCCGCGUGA
rnacentral:rRNA from 1 species